CUGACACUCACAGUGACAGUAUGACCAUCCAGUUAUAAUGACAAGGAAACCUAGCAUAAUCCUCUUUGUACUUCAUGUCUAUGGUGAAGGUAAGUUACACUUUGUACACAGUUCAUUGCAGAUAAUAUAUAUUGUUUACUAUAGACUUUUAUUUCUAUGGUGUUUUUUUUUUUUUUUGUCUUAAACUGCAACCCUUUUGUAGAUGACCUAACCCCUUGUCAUGGAAGAGAUAAUGAAGAGUGGAAUCCUGGUGACUUAAAUUUUUUCCCACUCUAUAAAACAAUCUGAUUCCUACAUAUAAUCUUUGUAAUCAGAUUUGUUUUCUACUAUUUUUAGACGUGUUUUGCUUCAAAAUUUGAAACAUAUAUUUCUGUCUGUUGUUGAAAUAAUUGGUCAUUUUAUUAAUGCAUGUUUAAAGUUUAUUUUUGUUACAUUUGAAAAGAAAACUGGACAACAGAAAGCAAGAGUGCUAAAUUUAGAGUGAUUACCGCAGAGAUCAGUGGGGUGUUCUUGGUGAUAAUUAAUUAAUGUAAACGUUCCAUUAUGAAUAUAAACUAUUAGUCUUUACACUCUUUUCAUGGGACAUUGCACCAGUUUCACUCCUGAGUGUAUGAUUAAUGGAUAAAGACUUAGCAGUCUGCAAACAGGGUAUUUACCCAGGAGAACUCAGCAACUGGACAUGGUAGGAGCCUUCUACAUUUACAUUUUGCCAUAGAAAUAGUAAAUGCUGUUUUUCUCUCUAAGAGCAUAAGACCGGUAAUGAAUUAGCCUGACAUAUAAAACAGGCAGCAGGCAUAAACACAGCAUAAAACUCUCUCUGAAAUUAUGUUUUUAGCUUAUUAUGUGUUUAGCUUAUUAUGUGUUUAGCUUAUUCUUCUGUUGAGUUCACCCAAGAUAUAACUUUACUCAUGUGUUAAAGAAGGUGAAGGUAGGUUACCAUUAAGACUGUCCACCUACCGACACUUCUUUUUCAGCAUAAAAUUAUCUAUGGUUCUGGCCCUGUUUUUUAUCGGUUGUCUAUCUAUGUGAUCACCCAUAUUUUGUGGUUUAUCCUUUUGUUGGUGAAGAAGAUAGCUAAAUUGUGGAUGUAUUACGCCUAUUUUUACAAAGUGUCUGUUAGCAAAUGUAAUGCUGUGGAUAUCACAUUAAUGUCUGAUACUUUAGAAUCUGUAAAAUAUCUAUGAAGAACUUCAUCCACCAAAUGAAUUCACAGAUCGAGUCAUUCUCGAUCUGUCCGAGCUAUCUCGAAGGUGAAGCUGAGGAUGUUCUCACCUUAGUAGUUGAAAUUUCGUGUUUUAGCCAUUACAUGGCCAUAAUAUGCUGAGCUUGACUUCUGUUAAAACCCUACAUUGGCAAGUCCUAACCUCACUAAUAUCGCAGAUCACUGUCCUAUUUGGACAUAAGCCCUUCAUCCCUUUACACUGUGGUACUUGAUGCAAAAAUAUUUUCAGGAUGUGAAACCCCAUUGUAUAUUUAAUGUAAACAGAUAUGCAAAAUAAAGAUAAUAAAUGCAAUUAAGUUUUUGUAAGAUUUCUUUUGCAUGUCUCUCUUUAACAUCAGUUUUAUUCUUACAAAUGUCUUUUUUUUUUUUACAGUAUUUUCUUGUGAUGCUCUAAAUGUAACUCAGUCUCCAAAGCGUUUAGUGUUACUGGAAGGAGAGAGCGCUGUUAUAAAUUGUACCUGGGAUCCCGACCAUACAGCGAAGCAGAUCAGAGUGGAAUGGAGAAUAUUUAGCAUUUCAUCAAUGAAAGUGGAAAAUAAAACACUUUUAGCAUCUGUUCUAUGGAAAGGAAAUGAUACAUGCAACGUUACACAAAGGAAUCACAAUGGGAGUACUUAUUAUGUAUCUAACGGUAAAGCAGAGCUACGGAUUGACUCUGUCACAGUGAGAGAUGAAGGAAUUUACUUCUGUGAGAUCAAUACUGAAAUACCAAAACUUCAGCAUGGAAGAGGAAAUGGCAC
rnacentral:lncRNA from 1 species